GAUUAACGCUGGCGGCGUGCCUAACACAUGCAAGUCGAGCGGCAGCGCGUUUUACACUGAAUUCUGGAAGCUUCUAGUUGAAAGAGAAGAUUUAUUCAAGAAUUUUGUGUAAAAUGUCGGCGAGCGGCGGACGGCUGAGUAACGCGUGGGAACGUACCCCAAAGUGAGGGAUAACGCAUCGAAAGGUGUGCUAAUACCGCAUAUGGUCUUCGGAUUAAAGCCUUCGGGCGCUUUGGGAACGGCCUGCGUAAGAUUAGAUAGUUGGUGGGGUAAUGGCCUACCAAGUCGACGAUCUGUAACUGGUUUGAGAGGAUGAUCAGUCAGACUGGAACUGAGACACGGUCCAGACUCCUACGGGAGGCAGCAGUGAGGAAUCUUCCACAAUGGGCGAAAGCCUGAUGGAGCAACGCCGCGUGCAGGAUGAAGGCCUUCGGGUUGUAAACUGCUUUUAUAAGUGAGGAUUAUGACAGUAACUGAUGAAUAAGGAUCGGCUAACUACGUG
rnacentral:rRNA from 1 species